AUUGAACGCUGGCGGUAUGCUUAACACAUGCAAGUCGAACGGUAGCAGCUCUUCGGAUGCUGACGAGUGGCGAACGGGUGAGUAAUGUAUCGGAACGUGCCCAGUAGUGGGGGAUAACUACUCGAAAGAGUGGCUAAUACCGCAUGAGAACUGAGGUUGAAAGCGGGGGACCUUCGGACCUCGCGCCAUUAGAUGAGCCUAGGUCGGAUUAGCUAGUUGGUGAGGUAAUGGCUCACCAAGGCGACGAUCAGUAUCUGGUUUGAGAGGACGAUCAGACACACUGGAACUGAGACACGGUCCAGACUCGUGAUGCU
rnacentral:rRNA from 1 species